rnacentral:rRNA from 1 species
GAUGAACGCUGGCGGCGUACCUAAUACAUGCAAGUCGAGCGAACAGACGAGGAGCUUGCUCCUCUGACGUUAGCGGCGGACGGGUGAGUAACACGUGGAUAACCUACCUAUAAGACUGGGAUAACUUCGGGAAACCGGAGCUAAUACCGGAUAAUAUAUUGAACCGCAUGGUUCAAUAGUGAAAGACGGUUUUGCUGUCACUUAUAGAUGGAUCCGCGCCGCAUUAGCUAGUUGGUAAGGUAACGGCUUACCAAGGCAACGAUGCGUAGCCGACCUGAGAGGGUGAUCGGCCACACUGGAACUGAGACACGGUCCAGACUCCUACGGGAGGCAGCAGUAGGGAAUCUUCCGCAAUGGGCGAAAGCCUGACGGAGCAACGCCGCGUGAGUGAUGAAGGUCUUCGGAUCGUAAAGCUCUGUUAUUAGGGAAGAACAAAUGUGUAAGUAACUAUGCACGUCUUGACGGUACCUAAUCAGAAAGCCACGGCUAACUACGUG